GAAUUCUAGAAAUUUAGCUGUUACAUAAGCCCUUCACUCUGUCCGUCGUCUGUGUGUUUGAACUUGAAGCUCCAACCAUCGCGGGUCGUUGUUUUGCAGUGCGUGUAGGUUAGUUAAGGAAAUGGAGGACAUAGAGGAUUUGCUAGGUGGGAGCGGAGGUGGAGCUCCUCCGGGUUUUCGUUUGCCCAUAACAGCCGUCGGAUUGAACCCAAAGAAGAACAAGAACAACAACAAACCCAAUCCCAAUGGCAAUAGCAAUAAGCUAUCUCAAAUCCAAGACCCCCUUGCUCCUCUCUCUCCCAAAAUCCCUGGAACUCAGACUAUAUAUAUCAAGACAUUUGGGUGCUCACACAACCAGGUUGAAAGUAGCUCAGGAACUGCUAACACUAUGGCAAACACAAUGAUGCAAAAAUUCUGGGAUUCAGCACUUGCUUUGGAGCCACCUGAUGAUUGUGAUACUCAAAGUGAAUUGCCUGCACUAAUGGCUUCUGAUGGGACAGAUGGAAAGUUCCCUUAUCUUCUCUUGGUCUUGGAAAUUCAUUUGCGUUCAAGUUUGAAGAUCUCAGGGUCGAAUGCAUCGGAUCAAUUGUGGUAAAUGGCAGUGGAAGGCAACAUUUCAUUGCAAGGAUGCUUGUAUAUGACUUUCCUUGGUUACCUUUUUUGGUCAAUCCUUGGUUACCUAUAUAUCACUCCUAGCUAAUGAACAUUUUGUGGAGUGAUUGUGAUGUUGGACAGCCUAAGGAUUUGCUAAAAUGCAUGAAAACUCAAAGAACCAGAUUAGUGAACUUGUAAAAUUAAAUCGAAUGCUAAGGGAUUGUGAAUGAAUUAAAAUACAAUACGGGGGCUGAGAUGGAAGUAAUUAGAAAAUCAACAAUGCAAAUUAUAUGAAGUAACAAAUAUGAUCAUGCAGUACCGGAAAACAAGAAAGUUUCAAAGUCACAGUGAGAAAGGACUUUUGGUUCCCUAAGUGGACUUAUUGAACUUAUGGAAGUCGGACUAGCUUUGGAAAGAAACAUGUUUACAAUUAUUUUUACUUGCAGCUUUUUUUCUUCAUGUUUUUCUCUUCAUUUUGCUGAUUAUUAAAAGGGUGAUACAUUGGGAAGACGAAGUUUUAAUUUAUUUAUAAAUUUUGGGGAGUAUAUUUUUGUUUUGCAGUGGAUAGAUAGCUAGGUAUAAACUACGAAAUAGGGGGUAUACUUCUCCCCUCCUAUUUUAGAGGCUCUAAACUGGGAUUUUGAAUUCUCAUUGUACCUCUAGACCAAUAUAGCUCAUUGACUUUUGGGGUAAUGGGGUGAGUAUUAGUGAGUUGUAUUUAUGAUUAUAUUUGGGGUGGGGACAUUAAUGGCAGCUUAUAUGACAGUGGUAUGCAGAAGUAAGCUCGGUGAUGGUGUUAUUAGUUGUGGCACAGAAUUUGUUGUAUACUGACACAUGGUUUCGUCAUAUAAGUGUAGCUACUGGGCGUGAUCAGCAGAUUGGGUUUGACUGGGGAUAGAAAAGCAGUCAGUGUGGUGAGAGGCAUGGAAAAUUUAGAUGAGCUGUUAUCUGCUGUCAUGCAAAGGAUUGGUGCUGCUAAUGAUUCAUGAUCGUCCUCAUAUAUUGUUUGAAGAUGAUGAAGGUGAUAGAGUUCUACUUGCAACUGAUGAUGAUCUUGUUAGUGCAGUCAGCCAUGCACGAGGAGUGGGACUGAAGGUUCUAAGGUUGCAUCUGGACUUCUCUGAUUCUGGCCACAGAACCAUAUUGCAGUCAGGUACAACAACGGCCCAGAAAACGGGAUGGACGUCUCUCCACACUGGAGUUUUGGCAAGUGCUGCUGUUUUAACCAGCAUUGGGGUGUUGGUCUACUUAAAGCGAACUAACCUGUAAUGUUAUCCUGAUUGUUCAAAGGAAGCACAUACUAAG